CGUGUGGGCAACCUGCCCUGUACUGUGGAAUAAUCAUUGGAAACGAUGACUAAUACCGCAUGUGGUCCUCGGAAGGCAUCUUCUGAGGAAGAAAGGAUUUAUUCGGUACAGGAUGGGCCCGCAUCUGAUUAGCUAGUUGGUGAGAUAACAGCCCACCAAGGCGACGAUCAGUAGCCGACCUGAGAGGGUGACCGGCCACAUUGGGACUGAGACACGGCCCAA
rnacentral:rRNA from 1 species